GACGAACGCUGGCGGUGUGCUUAACACAUGCAAGUCGAACGGAAAGGCCCUGCUUUUGUGGGGUGCUCGAGUGGCGAACGGGUGAGUAACACGUGAGUAACCUGCCCUUGACUUUGGGAUAACUUCAGGAAACUGGGGCUAAUACCGGAUAGGAGCUCCUGCUGCAUGGUGGGGGUUGGAAAGUUUCGGCGGUUGGGGAUGGACUCGCGGCUUAUCAGCUUGUUGGUGGGGUAGUGGCUUACCAAGGCUUUGACGGGUAGCCGGCCUGAGUGGGUGACCGGCCACAUUGGGACUGGGAUACGGCCCAGACUCCUACGGGAGGCAGCAGUGGGGAAUAUUGCACAAUGGGCGGAAGCCUGAUGCAGCAACGCCGCGUGCGGGAUGACGGCCUUCGGGUUGUAAACCGCUUUCGCCUGUGACGAAGCGUGAGUGACGGUAAUGGGUAAAGAAGCACCGGCUAACUACGUG
rnacentral:rRNA from 1 species